GGCUGGAUAGCUCAGUUGGUUAAAGCACUGGAACUGUAAUCCGGAUGUCGCAGGUUCAAACCCCGUUCCAGUCA